rnacentral:rRNA from 1 species
UGAGUAACGCGUGAGGAACCUGCCUUCCAGAGGGGGACAACAGUUGGAAACGACUGCUAAUACCGCAUGAAACAUUUGAACCGCAUGGUUUGAAUGUCAAAGAUUUAUCGCUGGAAGAUGGCCUCGCGUCUGAUUAGCUGGUAGGCGGGGUAACGGCCCACCUAGGCGACGAUCAGUAGCCGGACUGAGAGGUUGACCGGCCACAUUGGGACUGAGAUACGGCCCAGACUCCUACGGAAGGCAGCAG